GUGAUUAUUUAUUUUUUUAAUAAUAUAAAAUCUCUUAUAUAAUAAAUCACAGGUCACCUUACCAAUAUUACUUUGACACAUGUAUUCUAUUUCAUAUUUUAAAAUUACAAAUUAUGUUUAAAAUAAUAAAACCAAAAAUAUAAAAAGGUGAAAAGUAAUACACGUUCAUUCGAAUAAUCUCUCUACAUUGGUUCUUCUUAUCCACACCUCCACGAUCACCAUUCACCUCAAUCUCUUAUAACUACCUUCACCCAUCAUUUAUAUAUGUGCAAUGUCAUUCUAUGUUCUCUCUUACUCAAA
rnacentral:lncRNA from 1 species